AACAAGGCGUACCUGCGGACCUGCGGAAGGAUCAUUACAGAGUUCGUGCCCUCGCGGGUAGAUCUCCCACCCUUGUGUAUUCCUUACAUUUUGUUGCUUUGGCAGGCCGUUGGUUCGCCAACCACCGGCUCUACGGGCUGGUGCGUGCCUGCCAGAGGACCCCCCAAACUCGGUUUGUUAGUGUCGUCUGAGUAACCAUAACAAUCGUUAAAACUUUCAGCAACGGAUCUCAGAUCGGAA
rnacentral:misc_RNA from 1 species